rnacentral:rRNA from 1 species
AAGACAUGCAAGUCGAACGGAAGUCGUUAUAACUCAGAACAAAGAUUUAUCUGAGGGACGAGAUAUAACAAUGGCUUUAGUGGCGGACUGGUGAGUAACACGUAAGAAACCUGCCUAUUAGAGGGGAAUAACAACGAGAAAUCGUUGCUAAUACCGCAUAAGCUAGUAGUACCGCAUGGUACAGCUAGAAAAGGAGAAAUCCGCUGAUAGAUGGUCUUGCGUCCGAUUAGCUAGUUGGUGGGGUAACGGCCUACCAAGGCAACGAUCGGUAGCCGAGCUGAGAGGCUCAACGGCCACAUUGGGACUGAGAUACGGCCCAGACUCCUACGGGAGGCAGCAGUCGGGAAUAUUGCGCAAUGGAGGAAACUCUGACGCAGUGACGCCGCGUAUAGGAAGAAGGUUUUCGGAUUGUAAACUAUUUUAGAAAGGGAAGAAAUUGACAGUACCUGUAGAAUAAGCUCCGGCUAACUACGUGCCAGCAGCCGCGGUAAUACGUAGGGAGCAAGCGUUAUCCGGAUUUAUUGGGUGUAAAGGGUGCGUAGACGGGAGAACAAGUUAGUUGUGAAAGCCCUCGGCUUAACUGAGGAACUGCAACUAAAACUAUUUUUCUUGAGUGCAGGAGAGGAAAGCGGAAUUCCUAGUGUAGCGGUGAAAUGCGUAGAUAUUAGGAGGAACACCAGUGGCGAAGGCGGCUUUCUGGACUGUAACUGACGUUGAGGCACGAAAGUGUGGGGAGCAAACAGGAUUAGAUACCCUGGUAGUCCACACCGUAAACGAUGGAUACUAGGUGUAGGAGAUGAUUUCAUCAUCUGUGCCGAAAGCAAACGCAAUAAGUAUCCCACCUGGGGAGUACGGCCGCAAG